ensembl:lncRNA
AACCUUUGUUUUUUCUCCUUAAGAAAAAUGCUAUUUCCAAAAAAUAAAAUCUGAACUGAAAGAAAGCUUAGUAUGUGUAUGGGAACUGUUGAUUCACAGCCUGAACCUCUCAUUGACCACUUGAGGCGAGCACUGAGUCAGCUGCAGGGGCACAGGUGAAUGCAAUUUCACCUGAGUGACCAGAAGCCUGGCUCCACCCCUCCUAGACCCCAUUUAAGGGCUGACUCCCAAGGAGGAAGGAUCUCUCUCAGGAGAUCCUUCCUCUUGGAGCCCUUCUGCAAGCCCAGGACACAGGGUCCAUCCGACAAAUGAAGAAAACCUGUCUUUAAAACUCAUCUUCUGAUCUACUAAACUCAUCUACUGAUCUUUAGUAAAGCAAACGGCUUCAGCCUGAGAAUGCCGAUGUGAAGCAUUCUGAUAUUUAAGGAAGAAAAGAAGGAUGCCUAUUGUUUGCCUUGUCGUUGACUGACUCCAGCCCAGAACUGGGAGUUAUUUUGGUUUCCAUCCUUUUCCCAGGAGAUUUCAUUUUUUUUUUUUUUUUAACUCAUGUAACACUCUAAUUCAGUUUGAAGUAGAAAUGACCAGACUCAGUAAGGCUCACGAGAACAUGGCGGAGCUGCCAGUUUGCACAAAUAUCAGACAAAACAGUUCCAUUUUCCACCCCCCUCCCCCUUUGCACUUUGGGUUUCCUUUGAAACUGUACCUAGACUUCAGAGGAAGCAUGGGGUCCUCAGGACCAGCUGCUCCUCAAACACACACAACAAAACCAUCCAGGCUCUGCCAUGUAACCUGCACACCACAAAAAUUCAGAUGCCAUCUUCAGUCCUGCAAAAUAUUAAGCCAGGCAUUUAAGAUUCACCCAAUGAUUAAGCAUGAGCAGCUUGUAAUCGUUUCCAGAUUCCUCUCCUAGCAGGAGGAAAGGCUCCGCAAUUCCUGUCUGCGUGCUCAGUGUAGCAAUGUGCUCCCAAACAGACUGAAGAUGGGUUGAAGAGGACAAAACUGAUACCCCGAGCUUUGCAGCUGAGACCAAGCCAGCAUUACCUUUUAAUCCAACACGAUAACCUUGGAAAAGCAGGGUUAUUUAGCCAGCAUACAUCAGGGUACUUCCACAUCAUCUGUGUAGCAACACCUGUGCACCAGCAACUAGAAACCCCCUUACAUACACACUAAGAUUGUCUGCAUUUUUUCAUCUGGCUUGGGAGCAUUAAAUGAAGAUCAACUGUUGGAAUCGGCCUCGCUUAGGGAAGCAGACUGUCUGUGCUCACAGACAGGACCUUUCUCCUCCAGGUUUUAUAGGAAGCCCAAGACUGCAGCCUUUCUGCAGAGGCCACAGUGUAACCCAGGGAGCAUCUGGAUCCUUCCCUUCAUGCCAAUUCAGCCAUAUAUUUUUCCCCCAGACUGCUUGGCCAUGAAAAAAAGAGAUCUUUGAAAACCUGCUCAGGGCUUCAAAACCCUCAGCAGCCCCAGCCUGAAAGCAAACUCAGGUCUCCCCACUGCCUUUGAACACAGUGGGGAUCUGCUCCAGCAGGUUAGCUCUCAGGGCCAUGUUGCUCCCUGCAGCUAAACCAGACGACGUGAAAUGGCAAGUACCUCUUAAUUUUUAUUAUUUUUAAACAGGAUAGUUUAAGAGCUAUGGAUUUUUUUAUUAUUAUUAUUACUAUUUUACUGGCAAAUUUAGUGUGCUGCCUUCCCUCCUUAAUGAAGGGAACCAAGAGCUGGUGCUCAGCUCCUGCUUUCUAGAAGCAGUCCCUGCAAACCUACUGUGAAUAACCAUGUCACCUCCCCAUUCUCCAUCUCCAGAGCAAGAAAGCAGCUUUCAUCAGCUCAGACCAUUUUUUCUUUUCUUGCCUCUUUACCUUCGCCUUUCCUCCAAGUUCCAUUUAUCUCCAAGCCCAUGUCUGAGACAAGGACCUACGGCUUGCACCAUCCCUUCAUGUGCAAAAAGAGAAGGGUACUGUUCCAGGAUGGAAACCUGGAUGCACUCCUCAAGGAGAUCAUCUCUGAUCAAGGGUGAGGGGUUCACCACCCUCAUUCAUCAUCUCCUUAGCCUGUCAGUGUGGGGAGGUGAGAAAGGAACAACAGCACCAAUGGGCAGAGACUAUCCAUUGGACUCAUGCAAUCAUCCAGUUUUACUGGGAUUUCUCCUCUACAGGCUGAGCUGUGUCUGCUCCCUCCAUGCACCAUCACCCACGGGAAAACCACACUGCAGGAACGAGGGCCAGGGUUUCAAAGUUGGGACAGAUUUGCCCCUCACCAUUAAUUUGCAGUCCCCCAUGGGCUGUUGCGGCAUGGAAGCCAUUAACAUUUAAAAAUACUUGCAGGAAUGGGAAGGGGGAAAAAGAAUGGUAUUUGCAGAGGCCCAUUCCUCAGCACACUUUCAUGUGUGCCAAAGUUUGUUGGCAUGGCUCUGAGUUUGAUAGGGAACAUCUGGGCUGUUGCUGCCUGGAUCCUGACUGAGGGCAGCAAACAAAGGGGGUUUGUGCAGGAAUGCAUGAGGAGGGGGCGGCUCAGAGGCAAAACAAGAAUACUCAGAGGAGAAAGCCAAAUGCACACCCCAGCUUUUUCCAAGGAGAUACAAGCCUCCCCCUUCCAUAUUUUUCUCCCCAGAGUAUGCUGCAGCUACAAUAGCAAGGCUCCAACGUGGCUCAGUACCCCACUACCUGUGAUCAGGUCAACUGCCUAAGGAGGUGCUUGGGAGCUCCAAAGAGUGGACAUGCAAAUCAGGACUGCCACCUGGAGCCAGAUUUCCACUCCUUCCACCUCUGGGCCCCCCUCAAAGCCACGCCAGAGAAGGUAGUUGAGUAGGGACAAGCAUCCUUCUUACUUCCUCCUGCUUUGCCUCUGCAGUUCCCCCCCUUCCUGACCUGGGAAGCCUUUGGGAAAGAUCUGCUGUCAUCCUGGAUGAUUUCGAACCUUACAGUAGAGGUUCAUUAGCAUCUUUAGCAACUUUGGAGAUCCACAUGAAGCAAAGUCAUACCUGCAGGACCUCAAUGUUGGAGGCAGUGAAGGAUGCUGAAUUUCAUGAUACCCACAGAAGACGAGCUGGUCCCAUGCUGUUGCUGGCUCAGCACCCGUUUGCCUGGAUUUGUCCCUGGAACAACAAAGAAGAGCCCAGCGAGGGGUCAGCAUGGUUCAUUUGCCCUUUGGCCACAGCUUGCCAACAGGAUCCAGCUGAAUAGCUGCCAGUGCAGCGGGCUGGUGGGAAAAUGCUUGUGGAGCUUCUUGUAGGCAAGGGGAGCUCAAACACUUGUUUCAUCUUGGAAAUGUGUGCCAUUUUUUUCCAAGUUGUCCAAACAUUUGGCUUCUGUAUUUCCAUCAGUGACACAUCCCAGGGUUUCUAAUUGAAAAGGUCUUUUCUCUGCAUGGUUAGGCUGCUUGUAGAAAAAAAGAAAACAGGAAGCUUGAAAUUAUCAAAGAAAAAUAUUUUCAUUGACCUAGAAAUUUCUUACCCUUCAGUUUCUUGGUUAGUACAUUUUUCAAGACUCUUCAUCUCCAUGAGAGAAAUACUGUCAUUACUAUAUCUCAAAAAUGCCAACCGAAGGAAAGAGUUAAUAAUUACCAACAUCUAUUUUUAACCUGAUACCACCAGUCACAUCUCACAGAUGGCAGCUGGACUCCCUUGAGGCUCUGCCAUUGACUUUAUCAAUGAUUUGAAGCCAGAGAGGAUUUAAGUGGGUGGGACAUUCCCCAGCUCUAUGCUAACAGUCAGAACAGCAGCUGUUACAGAUAGGUAGGAGCUGGGAGCAUCUCUAAAGAGUCCGUGCUCAAGAAACAUUUAGAUGUUGUUCUAAGGGACACCGUUUAGUGGGGAAUAUUGGUGAUAAGUGGACUGUUGGAUGGGAUGAUCUUCGAGAUCUUUUCCAGCCUUGAUGAUGCUAUGAUGAUGCUAUGAUUCUACAACUGCCCUGCCAGUUUCUGGUGUCACAUGCCUCCAUCAUCCAUCUACCACUGAAAAUAAACUGCUCGUUUCUUUCUCCCCCUCAGUUCCAUAACUCAAAGGAUGAGAUAGAUUUUUCUGCACGUUUCCAAGAAGUUUGCCACUAGGCAAGGACCAGGCAUGCAAAACCUUCAACCUGAGACAUGAAUGUUUGCAAAAGUUAUUAGCUUAUGAAAACAGCUCUAAUGGAAACUGUUUUACUGCCAUCAUUUUAACGCUACGAACAGAGCCUGCUGCAAUAUAUAACAUUAUCAAGUGCCUGUCAGCAUUUAAUAGAAGCCAUAAUUAACUGCUGUGGAAGAACAUAGCAAAAAUUUAUUUUUAGGAAAACUUUUGGGAGCUGCAUAAUUCUGGCCUUAUUUCUUUCUUAUAAUCCCUCUCUACACGAGCCUUAAUAAAGUUCAUAGGACAGAGUGAAUACAGGACACAGGCGUGUAUCUUGUAGUAUUAGCGAUAGGAUUUUCUUUUCUGUUAAACUACAUAAUCCAGAAACAACAGUGAUGUUUGCUUUGGGACCUGGCCAGGCACUCAGCUCUGGAUUCAGCCUUCCUGACUGGUGCAACUUUCUCAUUUCCAUUGGCCAAAGGUGCUCACAGCCAGGGCUUGGCAGUCCCCAUUUCAGGGUGUCCACCUCCUGGUGCUUCGUGCCCCACAUCAACACAACCAAAGAAACUCAGACAUGAGAGGCCUGGCUCUCCCCCAUUCUAUCAAUCUUGUGCCCAAAACCCACUUUAUUCCCCCAGCUCUGCAGGCUGGCAGGCCACUUCCAUCUCCCCCAAUAGCCCAACAGCUGUUCUCUGUCCCUUCGGAGAUUAGUUUGUUUUCCUAAUGCAAUUACCGCCACGUGGCUCUGCUUUCUGCACAGAUCAAGCCUGGAUAGAGAUAAAGCAGUGAUAAAACUGCCUGCUGCUGCCAACCACGCUGCUCAUAGAGACACAAGCUGAGCCUGUCCUAUGGGCACACUGGGACUGCAGGGUCCCUGCUGCCCCGAGCUCCACAAAACCUCAGCACUGCUGGGCCAACAUCUGGCUGAACACCCACCUGCCUGCACCCAGGGCAGCUCCUGCACUCAGCCCAAGCCUACCCCAUGAAGAUGUUGGUCAACAGCAUCCCCUGUGCAGAGCAUCCUGCAGGCACAGGACCUAAGGGACACAGCUAGUGGGCAUGAUUGUGAUGGGUUGAUGGUUGGACUAAGUGAUCUCAGUGGUCUUUUUACAACCUAAAUGAUUCCAUGACCCAGCCCUGAUGCUUUCCAGCACCUCCUGAGGUCCCCUCGUUGUCCCCAACCCACAUGUGGGCACAGUGGCAGUGAGCCCACAGCACCAUGGGGCACAGUGGGAGGAGACACCCAGAGCUGCGCUGCCUGCAGGAGACGCACAUCCUCGCCAGAUGUCUCCCAUAAAGCUGCAAGCACUUUAUUUUAAUAAUAAGUCUUAAUGUAUUCAUUAAAGGCUCCCAGUGACCUGGGAUGAAUUUCCCCACUAUUGUAAAGGGCUGUGGGAAUCUGGAAACCGCUGCAUUACAGUUAAUAACUUUAAUUUUACAAGGCCCAAAAUAGACAACUGAAAAAAUACACAAACUCACUGUUUCCAAUUAAGAAGGGAUUUCUUCUAAUUCCUCUGCCACCGGCACUCUUGUUUAGCAAACAGCAUCAGCCGACAUUCAGCCAUAGGAAAGGGAAAAGCGCUGAGCAUCCAGCACCUCAUCUGUAAGAGGCAAGGAAGAGGACAUGAGCUCUUCUCCCCAUCGCUGGUCAGUGACAGCAAACCCAGACUGGGGGAGUCAAGGGCGAACCGUAGUGCCUGCUUAGCCUCAGUGGGUACUCAAACACCAGAUGGCUUCCAACCAUCCUCUCCCUGCUCCGUCCUGGGAAGGCUCCUGCACCCCCUCAUAUUUGAGACUGGACACACCUCAGGUUUUAGGGCCAAGAAGGAAUGUUCCCCCCAGAUCAGUUUACAUUGUGUUUACCUGUCUCCUCCUUCCUCUGUAGAGCAAUGGAUAGGUAGGACUCCAUAGAAAAAAAAAAGAGAUGGGAGCAGAAAACAAAAGUUCUCCCUGAUUUUUUUUUGUUUAGUUUUUUGGCCAUCUAACACUUUCCAGCCCAAAUCUUUUAACUUUCAGUUGGACUCCUUUUUUGCUUUCCAGUUAAAAGCAGAGUUCUCCAAGAAGAUGAGAGACACUCUAUAUGGGAAUUUACUCAUCACAAGCCAGGCAUUCUGGGAAGGAGAAAGGAAUUUGUGAGUCCUCACUUGGUGCCACAGCUGCUGCCCAUGCACUGCUGUGAGCAGAACUGAGCUCCUGUAGCAGUGGGCUCACUUCUCCAGCCAUAGUGAAUCCAUAAGAUCCAUAGUGGUGAAAAGUGAUCUUCUUACGCCUCAAGCCCACAUUUCUCCAUAAACAUGGCAGCUCUGGGAGCUGGGGAUGGGACACUGGGGCAUCACUACUGAGGAACGUGGGCAGGCACAUCCAUAGCUCUCUUUGAAUGCACUGGGAAGGGAACAUUUGCUCCUUGGUUUAAAGCCAUCUGAAUGCCUGGAGAUAAGCCCUAGCCACCAGCUGAUACUGGAGCUCAUACUUGUGCUCACAAGAGUCUGAAUGGGAAAGAUGCUCCUUGAGCUGAGCAGCCCCAGCCUCCCACCCAGGAUCAGCCAGAGAUAUUGAACCAAAAGCACCAAAAAUCCAUAGAAGCCAAACCUAUCACGUCAACAAACAGCUACCAACCAAUGUCUCCUAUCCCCACGUCAGCUAUGGAGUGUCUCACAGCAAUGCCCUGCCUUCAAGAGGUUGAAACCUCCACCAUAGGAGUUUGGAGCCAGCGAUUUCUCAGUUCAAGG